GCCGACCGCGCCGCCGCCGGGCGCUCACGGCGGGAAGAGCCUAGCGGCUGCUGGACGCUCAGGGCAAGGUGCCACCACCCGACCCUCAGGGGAGAGCUGCCGCUGUUUGGCUCUCAAGGAAAGCUGUCGCUUCGCGCCGCUGAGAGAAGAGCUGCAGGUGCCCGACCUUGGGGAAGAUUGCAGCCCAGCACCUGGCACGGCCGAGGUUAAUUAUUUAGCUGGAUUUGGGAACCACGCUACGACGCCGAGCUCUGAGGUUAGCUGUUUUCCACCCUACUCCUGAGAAGGCUGUCGCAGACCCCUCCACCCCCGGAACCACCUCUGCAGCCGAACUUUCCCUCGUUUUCCUUCCGAUGGUGUCGUAUUCACUCCAAGGCUUGUCAACAAAAGGAAUGGAUAAAUGAAUUCAGGGGGAAAGUGCCUUUCUGCCAGCAAGAGUGUGAGCUGCGAAGAGAUUUCCCGGGCGCUGGCAGAGGCAGUGACAGCUCCUUUUGCUCCACGUUCUUAACCUUACCGCCAUCCUACAGCGGCAGGGGAGGUUUCCAACAAAACACUUCUUUCUGUGAGAAGAUGCUUGUUCAUCAAACCCAAACCAUAAGCAACAAGAAAAAGGCAGUCCUGCGUGCCAGCUCAGCGUAACUCUGGCGAGACCCACAAGCCUGGAGAUUGAACAGCCACAGCGUCAGAGAAGGCUCUAGGAUGGGAUAUCCCUCUCCAGGCAGCCUGAACUGCUUCAAGGUGUGGCAGCAUUGACUGGACACCAUGAUGUACCCUAAGGGAGCUUCUUUUCCCAGGAGCAGCCAACCAGGGAGCCACAACUCUCUUUUUUUUGCAGUAUUUUACAAAGGAUGGAAUAUGCUGUACUCUUCCCAGAGCCUGACUGAUCUGUUAGAGCCCAGAGGAGGGGCCAUGAAAAUCAUCAGAGGCCUGAAGAGAGGCUGAGAGAGUUAGGGUUGUUCAGCCGGGAGAAGAGAAGGCUUUAGGAAGAGUUUAGAGCAGCUUUCGAGUAUUUGAAAGGGGCUACAAGAGAGCUGGAAAGGGACUUUUUACAAAGGCAUGGAGUGACAGGACAAGGGUUAACGGUUUCAAACUGGAAGAAGCUACAUUUAGAUGAGACAAUAGAAAGAAAUUCUUCCCCAUGGGAGUGGUGAGGUACUGGAAUAGGUUGCCCAGAGAAAUUGUUGAGCCUCAAAGUGUUCAAGGCCAGGUUGGAUGGAGCCAUGAGCAACCUGGUCUACUGAAAAGUAUCUCUACCUAUGGCAGGGGGGUUGGAACUAGGUAUCUUUAAGGUCCUUUCCAAUCCAAACUAUGAAUGGGAAAUAUACUGUGUUUGUCCAAAACCGUC